rnacentral:rRNA from 1 species
UACGUAGGGUGCAAGCGUUAAUCGGAAUUACUGGGCGGAAAGCGUGCGCAGGCGGUGAUGGAAGACAGAUGUGAAAUCCCCGGGCUCAACCUGGGAACUGCAUUUGUGACUGCAUCGCUGGAGUGCGGCAGAGGGGGAUGGAAUUCCGCGUGUAGCAGUGAAAUGCGUAGAUAUGCGGAGGAACACCGAUGGCGAAGGCAAUCCCCUGGGCCUGCACUGACGCUCAUGCACGAAAGCGUGGGGAGCAAACAGG